rnacentral:rRNA from 1 species
AAUAGAUACCCAGGUAGUCCACCCCGUAAACGUUGGGAACUAGUUGUGGGGACCAUUCCACGGUUUCCGUGACGCAGCUAACGCAUUAAGUUCCCCGCCUGGGGAGUACGGCCGCAAGGCUAAAACUCAAAGGAAUUGACGGGGACCCGCACAAGCGGCGGAGCAUGCGGAUUAAUUCGAUGCAACGCGAAGAACCUUACCAAGGCUUGACAUAUACGAGAACGGGCCAGAAAUGGUCAACUCUUUGGACACUCGUAAACAGGUGGUGCAUGGUUGUCGUCGGCUCGUGUCGUGAGAUGUUGGGUUAAGUCCCGCAACGAGCGCAACCCUCGUUCUAUGUUGCCAGCACGUAAUGGUGGGAACUCAUGGGAUACUGCCGGGGUCAACUCGGAGGAAGGUGGGGAUGACGUCAAAUCAUCAUGCCCCUUAUGUCUUGGGCUUCACGCAUGCUACAAUGGCCGGUACAAAGGGCUGCAAUACCGUAAGGUGGAGCGAAUCCCAAAAAGCCGGUCCCAGUCGUCGUAGUGUAGUGUCGACACGUCCGUACCUAUGUAAGGUAC